AAAUGAAUAGACGGGGGCCCGCACAAGCAGCGGAGCAUGUGGUUUAAUUCGAAGCAACGCGAAGAACCUUACCAGAGCUUGACAUCUCCUGAAUAGUCCGUAAUGGGAUGAAGUCCUUCGGGACAGGAAGACAGGUGGUGCAUGGUUGUCGUCAGCUCGUGUCGUGAGAUGUUGGGUUAAGUCCCGCAACGAGCGCAACCCCUAUACUUAGUUGCCAGCAGUGAGAUGGGCACUCUAAGUAGACUGCCGGAGACAAUUCGGAGGAAGGUGGGGAUGACGUCAAAUCAUCAUGCCCCUUAUGUUCUGGGCUACACACGUGCUACAAUGGGUAUAACAACGGGAAGCAAGAUAGUGAUAUUGAGCGAAUCCCUAAAAAGUACUCUCAGUUCAGAUUGUUCUCUGAAACUCGAGAACAUGAAGUCGGAGUUGCUAGUAAUCGCGAAUCAGCAUGUCGCGGUGAAUACGUUCCCGGGCCUUGUACACACCGCCCGU
rnacentral:rRNA from 1 species